rnacentral:rRNA from 1 species
GUGAGUAAUAUAUCGGAACGUACCGAGUAAUGGGGGAGUAACUAAUCGAAAGAUUAGCUAAUACCGCAUAUUCUCUGAGGAGGAAAGCAGGGACCUUCGGGCCUUGCGUUAUUCGAGCGGCCGAUAUCUGAUUAGCUAGUUGGUGGGGUAAAGGCCUACCAAGGCGACGAUCAGUAGCGGGUCUGAGAGGAUGAUCCGCCACACUGGGACUGAGACACGGCCCAG